rnacentral:rRNA from 1 species
AACGAACGCUGGCGGCAUGCCUAACACAUGCAAGUCGAACGAACCCUUCGGGGUUAGUGGCGCACGGGUGCGUAACGCGUGGGAAUCUGCCCUUUGCUUCGGAAUAACAGUUAGAAAUGACUGCUAAUACCGGAUGAUGUCUUCGGACCAAAGAUUUAUCGGCAAAGGAUGAGCCCGCGUAGGAUUAGGUAGUUGGUGGGGUAAAGGCCUACCAAGCCGACGAUCCUUAGCUGGUCUGAGAGGAUGAUCAGCCACACUGGGACUGAGACACGGCCCAGACUCCUACGGGAGGCAGCAGUGGGGAAUAUUGGACAAUGGGCGAAAGCCUGAUCCGGCAAUGCCGCGUGAGUGAUGAAGGCCUUAGGGUCGUAAAGCUCUUUUACCCGGGAUGAUAAUGACAGUACCGGGAGAAUAAGCCCCGGCUAACUCCGUGCCAGCAGCCGCGGUAAUACGGAGGGGGCUAGCGUUGUUCGGAAUUACUGGGCGUAAAGCGUACGUAGGCGGUUAUUCAAGUCAGAGGUGAAAGCCCGGGGCUCAACCCCGGAACGGCCUUUGAAACUAGGUAGCUAGAGUCUUGGAGAGGUCAGUGGAAUUCCGAGUGUAGAGGUGAAAUUCGUAGAUAUUCGGAAGAACACCAGUGGCGAAGGCGACUGACUGGACAAGUACUGACGCUGAGGUACGGAAGCGUGGGGAGCAAACAGG